UUAAGCGUGAGGUCGGUGGUUCAAGUCCACUUAGGCCCAUCGGUUGCGGGGCCUUAGCUCAGCUGGGAGAGCGCCUGCUUUGCACGCAGGAGGUCAUCGGUUCGAUCCCGAUAGGCUCCACCACUUUUCUUGAUUCGUUCCUUGAAAACUAGAUAACCGGAAAAGCGGAGGCGAGCGUUUCGCCGCGAUGGGCAAAUGUUCUUCGCCUGCAAGGGUGCUUGCACCCGGAAGGCGAAGGUUAUUUGACCCCGAGCGGCGGCGAGCCGACGCUAGACAAUAAGGAA
rnacentral:tRNA from 1 species